rnacentral:misc_RNA from 1 species
UCGAAGUCGAACGCUAGGAGGGAGAAGGGGAGCCCGUCGCUCCUCGGACCUCUCCGAAGCUUCAACCUUCUUCACACCCGUGUGCACCCGCUGUAGGUCCUUCGGGAUCCUACGUCUUCGCUCUCGAACUCGCAUGUCUACAGAAUGUCCAUGUCGUGUCGACCGGCGUCCGCGUCGGCGACCGCAAACCUUUGUA